rnacentral:misc_RNA from 1 species
GUGAUGAGUGGAGGAAGUGCAAAAGAACUAUUGAAGCUUCUUCUCCAAGGAAAGAUCCUAAAUUAAUGCUUUUGCCCGCACACAAGUCCCUUUCUGAAGAAGUUGCUUCUGGGGAAUCAUCUUUUGCUGCUGGUGAAAGAUUGUUCGAGAUUGUCAAGGUGUUUGUACUACUUCAUCAGCUUCAUAUUUUUUCAGAAGGAAAAUUGUUGCCCGAUCAACCUCCUAUACAUCCUAC